AAAGAGAAGAUGCAGACAUACCAGGCUCUCUGCUGGUGACUUUAUCUGAUUGUUUUUUGUUUCUAUUCUCAGAUUUUCUGACAGUAAAAGGAGAAGAGGACAUUUUGAUGACCCCCCAUCCUGGCUCUGAGUUCUUCACUGUCAUGCUGACUGGUUUACCAGAAACAUGCUACAAACACGAAGACAUUGCAAAGCUGGUUUGGCCUUAUUUCCCCAUACAGAACCUUCAGACUCUCUACUACAACAUCUUGGUCCUACCAUUGCAGAGGAGGGCCUUUGUGUUUUUCCCCAACUGGAAGGCAUGUCGCAGUUUUGUCCAGGAUUGUGUCAAAAAACCGGUCUCAGUCAAGAACCGUCCUCUCAGCGUCCACUUGGUGUUAGAGGACAUGCAUCCUCCAUCCAGUGAGG